rnacentral:misc_RNA from 1 species
GAUGAAGAACGUAGCGAAAUGCGAUAAGUAAUGUGAAUUGCAGAAUUCAGUGAAUCAUCGAAUCUUUGAACGCAUCUUGCGCUCCUUAGUAUUCUGAGGAGCAUGCCUGUUUGAGUGUCAUUAAAUUCUCAACUACACUGACUUUGAAUUGGUGUGGCUUGGAUUUGGGGGGAAAAUUGUUGUGGGCUUUUUGUAUAGUCUGCUCCCCUGAAAUUGAUUAGCGGUACCUUUGUGGAACUGUCUACAGGUGUGAUAAUUAUCUACAUCUUAGACAUCUGCUGGAAUGCUGCUUUCUAAACCUUACUUGUAUUGACAAUCUUGACCUCAAAUCAGGUAGGACUACCCGCUGAACUUAAGCAUAUCAAUAAGCGGAGGA